rnacentral:rRNA from 1 species
AUUGAACGCUGGCGGCAGGCCUAACACAUGCGAGUCGAGCGGAUGAAGGGAGCUUGCUCCUGGAUUCAGCGGCGGACGGGUGAGUAAUGCCUAGGAAUCUGCCUGGUAGUGGGGGAUAACGUCCGGAAACGGGCGCUAAUACCGCAUACGUCCUGAGGGAGAAAGUGGGGGAUCUUCGGACCUCACGCUAUCAGAUGAGCCUAGGUCGGAUUAGCUAGUUGGUGGGGUAAAGGCCUACCAAGGCGACGAUCCGUAACUGAUCUGAGAGGAUGAUCAGUCACACUGGAACUGAGACACGGUCCAGACUCCUACGGGAGGCAGCAGUGGGGAAUAUUGGACAAUGGGCGAAAGCCUGAUCCAGCCAUGCCGCGUGUGUGAAGAAGGUCUUCGGAUUGUAAAGCACUUUAAGUUGGGAGGAAGGGCAGUAAGUUAAUACCUUGCUGUUUUGACGUUACCAACAGAAUAAGCACCGGCUAACUUCGUG